AUUGAACGCUGGCGGCAUGCUUUACACAUGCAAGUCGAACGGUAACAGGGAGCUUGCUCCGCUGACGAGUGGCGAACGGGUGAGUAAUGCGUCGGAACGUGCCGAGUAGUGGGGGAUAACGCAUCGAAAGGUGUGCUAAUACCGCAUACGAACUGAGGUUGAAAGUGGGGACCUUCGGGCCUCACGCUAUUCGAGCGGCCGACGUCUGAUUAGCUAGUUGGUGAGGUAAAGGCUCACCAAGGCGACGAUCAGUAGCGGGUCUGAGAGGAUGAUCCGCCACACUGGGACUGAGACACGGCCCAGACUCCUACGGGAGGCAGCAGUGGGGAAUUUUGGACAAUGGGCGCAAGCCUGAUCCAGCCAUGCCGCGUGUCUGAAGAAGGCCUUCGGGUUGUAAAGGACUUUUGUCCGGGAGCAAAUGCUGGUGGCUAACAUCCACCGGAGCUGAGAGUACCGGAAGAAUAAGGACCGGCUAACUACGUGCCAGCCGCCGCAGUAACAC
rnacentral:rRNA from 1 species